GGAAUAUUGCACAAUGGGGGGAACCCUGAUGCAGCCAUGCCGCGUGAAUGAAGAAGGCCUUCGGGUUGUAAAGUUCUUUCGGUGACGAGGAAGGUUGAUAGGUUAAUAGUCUAUCAACUUGACGUUAAUCACAGCAGAAGCACCGGCUAACUCCGUGCCAGCAGCCGCGGUAAUACGGGGGGUGCGAGCGUUAAUCGGACUAACUGGGCGUAAAGGGCACGCAGGCGGUGACUUAAGUGAGAUGUGAAAGCCCCGAGCUUAACUUGGGAAUUGCAUUUCAUACUGGGUCGCUAGAGUACUUUAGGGAGGGGUAGAAUUCCACGUGUAGCGGUGAAAUGCGUAGAGAUGUGGAGGAAUACCGAAGGCGAAGGCAGCCCCUUGGGAAUGUACUGACGCUCAUGUGCGAAAGCGUGGGGAGCAAAC
rnacentral:rRNA from 1 species